AGGAAAGAGGGCGGGGUGCCUAAUACAUGCAAGUCGAGCGAACAGACGAGGAGCUUGCUCCUCUGACGUUAGCGGCGGACGGGUGAGUAACACGUGGAUAACCUACCUAUAAGACUGGGAUAACUUCGGGAAACCGGAGCUAAUACCGGAUAAUAUAUUGAACCGCAUGGUUCAAUAGUGAAAGACGGUUUUGCUGUCACUUAUAGAUGGAUCCGCGCCGCAUUAGCUAGUUGGUAAGGUAACGGCUUACCAAGGCAACGAUGCGUAGCCGACCUGAGAGGGUGAUCGGCCACACUGGAACUGAGACACGGUCCAGACUCCUACGGGAGGCAGCAGUAGGGAAUCUUCCGCAAUGGGCGAAAGCCUGACGGAGCAACGCCGCGUGAGUGAUGAAGGUCUUCGGAUCGUAAAACUCUGUUAUUAGGGAAGAACAAAUGUGUAAGUAACUAUGCACGUCUUGACGGUACCUAAUCAGAAAGCCACGGCUAACUACGUG
rnacentral:rRNA from 1 species